AGCCUACGGGGCGCAGCAGUGAGGAAUAUUGGUCAAUGGGAGAGAUCCUGAACCAGCCAAGCCGCGUGAGAGAAGACGGCCCUAUGGGUUGUAAACCUCUUUUGUCGGAGAACAAAACCCGGGACGAGUCCCGGACUGCGUGUACCCGAAGAAAAAGCAUCGGCUAACUCCGUGCCAGCAGCCGCGGUAAUACGGAGGAUGCGAGCGUUAUCCGGAUUUAUUGGGUUUAAAGGGUGCGUAGGCGGACA
rnacentral:rRNA from 1 species